rnacentral:precursor_RNA from 9 species
UGUUGCCUUCUACCGACUUUCUUCACAACUUGUAAGUUAACGUAGUCCAAGGUUUAGACUUUGAAACUUGCGAUUGCGAUAACUUGCGGGAUGCGUUGAAAGUGAUCGGCGAGCAAUCCA